rnacentral:lncRNA from 1 species
CUUCAUUCUUCUCACUGCCUCCUUUCCUUCUCACUGUUCAGAGCGCCCUGUGCAUGCAAAUCAAGGAACUGACUUGAGAUGACUUUCAGAGCUCUGUCUCUUGUGUUUCUUUGGCCUGGAAGAAACAACGCCUAAGUUUUGAGCUGCAUGAAGCUGCCUGACAUCUAAGGAUCUCUGAAGAGAACUGGGACCUGAAACCCAUCUGAAAUGUAUCUGCAGACAGGUCAAGUUCAUCGAGAGUCACCUCCUGCCUGACACUCCAGUCAUUAAUUCCAGAGCCUGUGUGAUCCGCUUGCCAGAACCUGAUUGCUUGGUGAUCAGAGAUGGAGAGAUUGUCUGAGCAGAAGUUCCUAAGGAGGUGGACUACAUCAAGGGGCAGUCAUCACUGAUACUCCUCUUCCCCUGCCCACCCAAGUGGAGAAAGGAGACAUGACCUUUUCCUACUGUCUCA